UACGUAGGGUGCAAGCGUUAAUCGGAAUUACUGGGCGUAAAGGGCUCGUAGGCGGCCAACUAAGUCGGAUGUGAAAUCCCCAGGCUCAACUUGGGAACUGCAUCCGAUACUGGAUGGCUUGAAUUCGGGAGAGGGAUGCAGAAUUCCAGGUGUAGCGGUGAAAUGCGUAGAUAUCUGGAGGAAUACCGGUGGCGAAGGCGGCAUCCUGGACCGACAUUGACGCUGAGGAGCGAAAGCCAGGGGAGCAAACGGG
rnacentral:rRNA from 1 species